UACGUAGGGUGCAAGCGUUGUCCGGAAUUAUUGGGCGUAAAGAGCUCGUAGGCGGUUUGUUGCGUCGGCUGUGAAAUCCCGAGGCUCAACCUCGGGUCUGCAGUCGAUACGAGCAAACUAGAGUGUUGCAGGGGAGACUGGAAUUCCUGGUGUAGCGGUGAAAUGCGCAGAUAUCAGGAGGAACACCGGUGGCGAAGGCGGGUCUCUGGGCCGAAAUUGACG
rnacentral:rRNA from 1 species